CAAAAGGACUCAACAAGUUUGUGCUCAAAGAAUAUGCUAAGGAGAUCCUUUUCAGCAAGCCUACAAAAAGACUAACGCUUCCUUUCAAUCUCAAGCUGAUCUAUUAUACCAUUAUGUCUUGUGGUAUCACCAUCUGAGAGCCAGACUUGUAGCAGUUAAGCUUAGGAUACAUUAGCCAUGGCCUUCUUCUUCUUCGUUGGUUGCUCUCAGAUCUUCUGUUGGAGAAGCCGUGGAUGGUAGCCAGAACACAGUGCUGAAAAGCCGCAAGCUCGUAGGGCAACCUAGCAUCUUUGGCAGAGUCUUCGCAUGACUCCGUGGAUCGGUUACAGAAUUCGUCUAUUCAUCAUAUGAAGCCUAUUAGUGAGAUUGUUUUCAGUCAAAUGAACAACUCUGCUUCUAGUGCGGUGCUUGAGUUCUGAAUAAAGAUUUCAGUAGCAAUUCACCA